rnacentral:rRNA from 1 species
UACAGAGGUCUCGAGCGUUAGGCGGAAUCACUGGGCUUAAAGCGUGUGUAGGCGGAUCGUUAAGUGCCUUGUGAAGUCCCACGGCCCAACCGUGGAACUGCUUGGCAUACUGGCGGUCUUGAGCAACCUAGGGGCGAGCGGAACAAAUGGUGGAGCGGUGAAAUGCGUAGAUAUCAUUUGGAACGCCAAUGGUGAAAACAGCUCGCUGGGGGUUUGCUGACGCUGAGACACGAAAGCCAGGGGAGCAAACGGG